rnacentral:rRNA from 1 species
GAUGAACGCUAGCUACAGGCUUAACACAUGCAAGUCGAGGGACCGGCGCCCGGUUGAGUAACACGUAUCCAACCUGCCCUUUACUCGGGGAUAGCCUUUCGAAAGAAAGAUUAAUACCCGAUGUAAAGGAUGGGGAUGCGUUCCAUUAGGUGUGUGGUGAGGUAACGGUUCACCAAUCCUUCGAUGGAUAGGGGUUCUGAGAGGAAGGUCCCCCACAUUGGAACUGAGACCCGGUCCAAACUCCUACGGGAUGCAGCAGUGAGGAAUAUUGGUCAAUGGGCGUUAGCCUGAACCAGCCAAGUAGCGUGAAGGAUGAAGGCUUAUGGGUCGUAAACUUCUUUUAUAUAAGAAUAGGUAUUAUAUGAAUAAGGAUCGGCUAACUCCGUGCCAGCAGCCGCGGUAAUUC